GCCGAGGUAGCUAAGCCCGGUUUACGGCGCCAGCCUUGAGAGCUGGUGGUGCUUGACACCGCGGGAGUUCAAAUCUCCCCCUCGGCG
rnacentral:tRNA from 1 species